GCUCAUACCUGGCAGGGGAGACACAUUCAUUAAGAAGGUGAGUCACCCAGGGUGAGACUCAGCCAUUGCAAUUCGGUUGCGCUGACCUCUGCGAAUUCCCCAAAUGUGGGAAUCUCGACUGCAUAAUUUUUGGUCGUGGGGGGCUGCGUUCGCGCUCUUCUCUG